AGAAAGAUAAGCUAAAAAAGCUAUUAGGUUCAUAACCUAAAGAUAGAAAACUUAUUCUUCUUUCUA
rnacentral:tRNA from 1 species